rnacentral:RNase_P_RNA from 1 species
CGAGUCGGCCGGACGGUCGCGGGGUCCCGGGCAACCGAACCUCGAGGAAAGUCCGAGCUCCCUGACGCAGGGUAGCGGGUAACGCCCGCCCGCCGCGAGGCGAGGACCAGCGCCACAGAGACGAGGCGUCAACGGAUCCGGGCGACCGGGCCCGAUGACGUCAGGUGAAACGGGCAAGCUCUACCCGGAGCAAGGCCGAAUAGGAGGGCGAUGCCGGGCACGGCCCGGCGCAGGUGCGUCACCGAGUCCUCGGGUAGGCCGCACGAGCCGGCGGGCAACCGCCGCGCCCAGAUGGAUGACCGUCGCCCGGCCUCGGCCGGGCACAGAACUCGGCUUACAGGCCGGCUCGUCGA